rnacentral:rRNA from 1 species
UACGAAGGUCGCAAGCGUUAUCCGGAUUUAUUGGGUUUAAAGGGUGCGUAGGUGGGCAAGUAAGUCAGUGGUGAAAUCUCCGGGCUUAACCCGGAAACUGCCAUUGAUACUAUUUGUCUUGAAUACUGUGGAGGUCAGCGGAAUAUGUCAUGUAGCGGUGAAAUGCUUAGAUAUGACAUAGAACACCAAUUGCGAAGGCAGCUAGCUACACAAAUAUUGACACUGAGGCACGAAAGCGUGGGGAUCAAACAGG